AUUGAACGCUGGCGGCAUGCCUUACACAUGCAAGUCGAACGGUAACGGGCCUUCGGGUGCCGACGAGUGGCGAACGGGUGAGUAAUACAUCGGAACGUGCCCGAUCGUGGGGGAUAACGAGGCGAAAGCUUUGCUAAUACCGCAUACGAUCUACGGAUGACAGCAGGGGACCGCAAGGCCUUGCGCGGACGGAGCGGCCGAUGGCAGAUUAGGUAGUUGGUGGGAUAAAAGCUUACCAAGCCGACGAUCUGUAGCUGGUCUGAGAGGAUGAUCAGCCACACUGGGACUGAGACACGGCCCAGGCUCCUACGGGAGGCAGCAGUGGGGAAUUUUGGACAAUGGGCGCAAGCCUGAUCCAGCCAUGCCGCGUGCAGGAUGAAGGCCUUCGGGUUGUAAACUGCUUUUGUACGGAACGAAAAGCCUUCUUUUAAUACAGGAGGGUCAUGACGGUACCGUAAGAAUAAGCACCGGCUAACUACGUG
rnacentral:rRNA from 1 species